rnacentral:rRNA from 1 species
CUACGGGAGGCUCCAGUGGGGAAUAUUGGACAAUGGGGGAAACCCUGAUCCAGCAAUGCCGCGUGUGUGAAGAAGGCCUGCGGGUUGUAAAGCACUUUCGGUUGGGAGGACUGCUUCUAGCACUAAUAUUGUUGGAAGUUGACGUUACCUUCAGAAGAAGCACCGGCUAACUCCGUGCCAGCAGCCGCGGUAAUACGGAGGGUGCAAGCGUUAAUCGGAAUUACUGGGCGUAAAGCGCGCGUGGGCGGCUAGAUCAGUCGGGUGUGAAAGCCCCGGGCUUAACCUGGGAACUGCAUCCGAUACUGUCUAGCUUGAGUACAGGAGAGGAGAGUGGAAUUCCACAUGUAGCGGUGAAAUGCGUAGAUAUGUGGAGGAACACCAAUGGCGAAGGCAGCUCUCUGGCCUGAUACUGACGCUGAGGUGCGAGAGCGUGGGGAGCAAACAGGAUUAGAUACCCUAGUAGUC